rnacentral:lncRNA from 1 species
GGUUAUUUUACCAAGGCUUUGACUGGAAUGGCAUGCUUUCCUUUAAGGAAUGGAACUUGACUUGUAGAGCCAAUGAAAGCCCCUUGGGAAAACUGGCCUCAUACCUUGUCUACACAGUCCCUGUACAAGGUUCCUGACCUGUGACUGACUGCUUAUUCCUGUGAAACAAUCAGUGAUCUCUAACUGCAGCUCAGAGGAAACAAGAGGGAUGGGUAAUGUAAAAAUCUGAAUCAAUAAUCUAAUUCUGAUAUGAAGCAAUUCAGCUCCAUAUCAUCCCAGUUCCAACAGUUGUCCAGUUCAUGGAAAGCCUUCUUAUUUAGUUUACUUGGGAUAAUAUCACUUAGUUUGUUUUACUCUUGUGGAAUAUAUUGCUGUUGUACUGUCUGUGCAGGAAUGCAGAAUAAGCUUACUCAACAUUUUCUUAAAUUAAAUAUUUAUUAAUCUUCCAGAUAACACCUUUUGUUGGAACUCAAGAGUUACGUAUGGCCCUCAUCAUACUGAUGCUUUCUGAUUGAGCCCAGCUCUAUCCUGAAUAUAAGAGACCCUGGUAGGCAGAAAUAUCAUCACCCCUAUUCAGCAUGAAGAAUUUAUAGAAGAUGAAUCUUCAUCCCACUGCAACCCUUAGGAUUAAAGGGUUCUCUUAUAAAAGGGAGGGGGGAAAUGUCAGAGGUGUUUGAACUAGAGCAACUCCAUCUUGAGUAGGAGCUGGG